CCUACGGGAGGCAGCAGUGGGGAAUAUUGGGCAAUGGGCGCAAGCCUGACCCAGCAACGCCGCGUGAAGGAAGAAGGCUUUCGGGCUGUAAACUUCUUUUCUCAGGGACGAAGAAAGUUACGGUACCUGAGGAAUAAGCCACGGCUAACUACGUCCCAGCGGCGGCGGUAAUACGUAGGUGGCAAGCGUUAUCCGGAUUUAUUGGGUGUAAGGGGCGUGUAGGCGGGAGCGUAAGUCAGAUGUGAAAACUCAGGGCACAACCCUGGGCCUGCAUUUGAAACUGUGUUUCUUGAGUGCUGGAGAGGCAAGCGGAAUGCCGGGUGUAGCGGUGAAAUGCGUAGAUAUACGGAGGAACACCAGUGGCGAAGGCGGAUUGCUGGACAGUAACUGACGCUGAGGCGCGAAAGCGUGGGGAGCAAACAGGAUUAGAUACCCCAGUAGUC
rnacentral:rRNA from 1 species